AUUUAUGUACCUACUGCUUAGGAUUGAUGGUAACUGAUGAAACAGACGUUCUGAUUUUUCAUUAGAUUCCUAACCUAUUUUCAUGGUCUUGAACUCUGAAUUUUUAUUCUCUUUUGUACUCUCACAUGGUAAAGCAAUGCUGAGUCCUGGAGUAGGACUUCCAGACUUGAACUGGUUAACUCACAGACCUGCGGUUGUUUUCUUUAAUGGGCUGGGUGAUUCCUGGAAACAUGCAAGCAAGCUGCUGCUGUUUGUUUUCUACCCUGUGCCGUUUGACUUGGAGCAUUUCUGAAGUCUCUCAGUUCCUGUACAUCUAAAUGAAUGACUGUUUCUGGAUACAGGGCCCGUCAGGGAGGAAGCACACUGAGGCGGAAUGUGGGGAAUGCUCCUAGCCCCUCCUCACACAGGGGAAAGACACAUUCAGCUACAGCUGACAAAAAAACACAACAAUACAGGCAGACGAUGCAGGUACUGUCUCCGCCCGACAAAAGACAUGCCAUCUUGGAGCAGAGAGAACACAGAACACAGGACGGGGUGUUCCCAACAAAGAGAUAACAAUUACAAAGUAUAGCAUCUUUCCAAUGUCAAGUGACCUGAAAAUAUCCAUACAUCUGCUUGAUCACUGCAUGGACCUCGACCACAAAUAUUUGUUCUGACCCUUAUAUGUGCCAGCCCUCUCUUCCAAUGCCCUAUAUAGCUUCCUGCCUUUUCUUUGUUCAGUGCUGAUCAUCUCUUGCUUUCUGUGAGCCCACUGCUACCCAGGUGAAUAAAGCCUGUACCUCUUUGCUCUCACUAACCUGCAUGGGUGGUCUCAUUACUUGCUGUUUGUUACAAAGUCCCUAAAUUUUGGGGUUAAUUUGUUACACAGCAAUAAAUAACACAAUAAACAAAUGAAUAUGUCCACAAAUGGAUGAAAGAAACUGAAGGCCUCACCAAAAGAAGGGGGACUUGAGACUGGAGAAAGCAAGCAAAGGUUUUAGGACAAAUACAAUCGUUAAUCCUUUGUGUCUGAAGAUGUUUCUCCCAGCUACAGAAUCUAGAAGUAUGGUUGAGAGGAAAACUCCUCUCAGAGUUUUAGGAAUCAACUUUAUCAGGUCACUGGACAUUUUAUAUUUCUGGGCAC
rnacentral:lncRNA from 1 species